GCCGAGUACCAAACAACGUUAGCAUUUAGCUGGUGGUCAUCCUGCUCCUCCUGCUCCUCCUGCUGCCUCCCUUUAAUGUCGGGCGAGAUCAUGGUACAGAUCACAGACAGGAUCAUCCGACCAUCCAGAUCAUAGUCAGACACCCUCCAUUUGUUCAGACACUCUCGUCCAUCAGAAUGGGCCACUGUGCAGCGAGAAGAGCAAACACAGGACAGCCUCCCUCUGCAAACAACAGCUACUUUUGACCUACAUCUGCAUCCAAUUAGCAGCACGAGGCCAAGACCAGUCAGUGUUACACAAUACCAAGGAUGUCUGUUCAUGUACCCAACAUGUCUUGUUUUGCUUGUCUCACUAAUUCACUGUCGAUAUAAAAUCAGAAGACUGCACUCAGAAACUGAUUUCAUCUGGUGACGUAGAUGUUUGUACCCAGUCUCUAGCACCAUAUGAAAUCAGUGCUCUGGGAGGUGGACUGUCAGCAUGUACAGACUCUGUACAUGAAUAUCCGAAAUAUGAGAUGUUAUUUUUGUAACGUCACAAAGUAGGUCACAUUUGUAUAAAUUACUGUUCAUUCACUAACUGCUCACAGCUGCUGUCCUGCUUAUUGUUAAACCUUUUCCUCCCUUUCUCUGUCUCCCAUCGACUCAAGCAUACUUUUAUCAGUAAUACGCUUUCAUUGAUAAAUUCUGAACCCAUCGGCGUUGUUGUUUAGCACAUUUUUGAAUUUUCAAGCCACACUAUGUAACUUUUCCUGAACAGUGGCCAUAACUGGGAUGUAAGAGGUGAUGGUAAAUGUAAUGUAACAUUCACAACAAUACACAGCUUAAGCUUAAUAACAUUUGCCACAACAGGCCAAGGGCGUAUAUCUGGUUUGAAAAGUAAGGGGACCCAUUUAAGUGUCAGGGGGUCCUCCCCCAGAAAAAAAAUUGCAAUUUAAAUCCCAUUUUCUGCAUUCCUACAUGGAUUUAGGGACUGCUGUAACCAAAAACAACAUCUGGGAAAUAUUUAAGUUGGUCAUAAUAAUAAAUUCUGCCAGAAUAGUAUUAAAUAUCCUGCUCCUUUGUGGCAUUUCAUCAGAUCAAAGUUAGAAGCUCAGUUUACAUUCUCAGCCAGAAUCUGACAGCUAGCCAACCAGUAGCAUAUUUAGCACAAUUUCUGUGGUAAAAAAAUAAUAUGUUUUUGAUAUAGACUGUAAAAAUAAUAGAUGUAGCUACUGUGAUGUCACCUGCCUGUUCUGAAGCCUUGAGUUUGACAUUUCAGCCGUCGCCAUCUUGGUUUUUGGGAGCCAGAAGUGACCAUAUUUGGGUGACAAGCUGACACUGUGGAGGAGGGUUAGGGUUAGGCCGAGAACUCUAUCAGCAGACAUCCUGUCACUCAAAUCAGCCUGCCCUUCAUUAUUCGUAACUUUAAGCCUUAAUAAAAUGUAAACGGGUGAGUUGCUUAAAAAAAACAUUCACUCCCUACAGUUGUCGUAAAUGUUGAAAUUAGCUACAGAGACCAAUACUGUUUUUGUACCAGGCUGUAAACACGUUUAUUACUGCUGUGAAGUUGGGCAUUUCAACAUGAGGGUCUACAGGGAUUGACUCACUUCCAAAGCCAGCCUCUAGUGGUCAUCAGAGGAACUGCAGUUUUUGGCACUUCAAGUUGGUGCAAGUUUUCAGCCUCAGAAGUCAACUUUUUAUUAUUAUUAGGGAGAAUGAUGUGUUUUUAAAAACUACAUAGUCUCAUUUAAAAGCUUCAUUUCCUGACUUAAGUCUGGUACCACCUAUCUUCAUGCUUUUCAUCCCAUUACAAAGUUUUCUCUGUUUUUUUUCCAGCUGAUUAAGAGAUGUGCUAUUUAGCAUUUAUCAGAACAGAUGAAUGCAAGUGAUGGCUACCUUAUACAGUUUUAAGACAAUCAAAUGUUGAUAAAAUACUGAAAUAAACUUGUAUUUUGUGGUAAUAAAAUUGUAAACUUACA